rnacentral:rRNA from 1 species
AACGUAGGACACAAGCGUUAUCCGGAGUUACUGGGCGUAAAGAGCGCGCAGGCGGUUCGUUCAAGUCGCGUGUGAAAGCCCCCGGCUCAACUGGGGAGGGUCACGCGAUACUGAUCGACUCGAAGGCAGGAGAGGGAAGUGGAAUUCCCGGUGUAGUGGUGAAAUGCGCAGAUAUCAGGAGGAACACCGGUGGCGAAGGCGGGUCUCUGGGCCGUAACUGGACGCUGGAGGAGCGAAAGCGUGGGGAGCGAACAGG